rnacentral:rRNA from 1 species
AACGAACGCUGGCGGCAGGCCUAACACAUGCAAGUCGAACGCUCCGCAAGGGGAGUGGCGCACGGGUGAGUAACACGUGGGAACCUACCUUCUGGUACGGAACAACCAAGGGAAACUUUGGCUAAAACCGUAUACGACCUCCGGGUGAAAGAUUGAUCGCCGGAAGAGGGGCCCGCGUCCGAUUAGGUAGUUGGUGAGGUAACGGCUCACCAAGCCUACGAUCGGUAGCUGGUCUGAGAGGAUGGCCAGCCACACUGGGACUGAGACACGGCCCAGACUCCUACGGGAGGCAGCAGUGGGGAAUAUUGGACAAUGGGCGCAAGCCUGAUCCAGCCAUGCCGCGUGAGUGAUGAAGGCC